rfam:Salmo salar isolate Sally breed double haploid chromosome ssa11, whole genome shotgun sequence.
CCCAUAUGAAAAUGUAAGUCGCUUUGGAUAAAAGUGCCUGCUAAAUGGCAUAUA